UACGAGGGGGGCGAGCGUUGUUCGGAAUUAUUGGGCGUAAAGGGUGCGUAGGCGGUUUGGUAAGUCUGAUGUGAAAUCUAUGGGCUCAACUCAUAGUCUGCAUCGGAAACUGCCGGGCUUGAGUAUGGGAGAGGUGAGUGGAAUUCCUGGUGUAGCGGUGAAAUGCGCAGAUAUCAGGAGGAACACCGAUGGCGAAGGCAGGUCUCUGGGCAUUAACUGACGCUGAGGAGCGAAAGCAUGGGGAGCGAACAGG
rnacentral:rRNA from 1 species